CCCCCCAUCCAAUCUGGCCCACUUACAUGUUGAAAAAAUUGCACAGUGACAAAUCUUGAAAGUUACACACUCAGUACAAUUAAAAUGGCUUUGAAAUGCCUCACACAGUCCCUGCUCCAUGAGGUUUUUUCUCUACUUCGGGAACAAAGAAAAUUAUUUCCAUUCUGACUCAUAAGUCAUGAUCCUGAGAUGUAAUAAUAUACUGUGUACUGAGUUCAACUGACUGGUUGCCUGGUGCAGUCAAAAUAACCUGGAAAUGAACACAGACCAAUACGUGAACUUCAGGAAAUGCCCCCCUCCCCACCUUCCUCCUUGGAAGAAAAGCCUCAGCUGUUAGGAGUUUGGCAAACGGACAGAAUAGGUCUAACAGGAACAUAAAAGUUGUACCACCUGAACAGCUGCCCCACCUGAGUUUUCCCGUGUUGUUCCUCAACAACCAGCCAUCUGUCCGAACUAUAAAGUAAAUAGCUGCCAGCACUCUGUUCCACUGCACAGCACUCUGUUCCACUGCACAGCACUCUGUUCCACUGCACAGCACUCUGUUCCACUGCACAGCACAAUGUUCCACUGCACAGCACAAUGUUCCACUGCACAGCACUCUGUUCCUCUCCCUGCAUGUAAAUACAUUCUACUGAUUCCGUUACUGUGUCUAUUACAGUUUUUUUCCCAACUGCUAAAACAACAUUUUGCAAACUAGGCUGGUUUUAUCAAAAUAAAAAGAGGCAAGAAAACUAAUUAGGCAGCAUCUUGCCGCACAGCUCGGUCUGGCCACAACGCGUUGUCCACAUCACAGGCAAUAUCUUCCCUUGCCAGACAUCGAGGGAAGAAGGGCCUGAGUGCCUUAUCCAUCCCUGAAUCGCACCCACAUCAAUCUCAUCACAUGCCUCUUCCAUAGCCUGCAUAAGAGUCAUGCGCACAAAGGGCUGCUGGUCGUAUACCUUCCACCGCCAUGCCGAAAAUAACCCUUCUAUGGGGUUCAGAAAUGGUGAGUAUGGUGGGAGGAAUUGCACGAGAAAUGGUGAGUAUGGUGGGAGGAAUUGCAUGAGAAAUGGUGAGUAUGGUGGGAGGUAUUGCACGAGAAAUGGUGAGUAUGGUGGGAGGUAUUGCACGAGAAAUGGUGAGUAUGGUGGGAGGUAUUGCACGAGAAAUGGUGAGUAUGGUGGGAGGUAUUGCACGAGAAAUGAUGAGUAUGGUGGGAGGUAUUGCAUGAGAAAUGGUCAGUAUGGUGGGAGGUAUUGCAUGAGAAAUGGUGAUUAUGGUGGGAGGUAUUGCACGAGAAAUGGUGGGUGGUCAGCAAACCAGUUUUGGACUGGGGAUGCAUAAUGAAAGCUCACGUUGUCCCAUACUACAAAGUACCAGUUUCUUUGAUGGUCUGCAUCAUUCAUAUACUCUGGUGGUAUGAGAAUGUUGUGGAGUCUGUCCAGAAAUGUAAGAAUAUGGGCUGUGUUGUAUGGAUACCAUGCGUAUUGGAGAUGGUAGCACACAUUCUGAUGUUCCCACCACGUUGGCCAGGAACAUCUACAGUAUAAUGGCUCUG
ensembl:lncRNA